rnacentral:rRNA from 1 species
CCUACGGGUGGCAGCAGUAGGGAAUCUUCCACAAUGGGCGAAAGCCUGAUGGAGCAACGCCGCGUGGGUGAAGAAGGUCUUCGGAUCGUAAAACCCUGUUGUUAGAGAAGAAAGUGCGUGAGAGUAACUGUUCACGUUUCGACGGUAUCUAACCAGAAAGCCACGGCUAACUACGUGCCAGCAGCCGCGGUAAUACGGAGGUGGCAAGCGUUAUCCGGAUUUAUUGGGCGUAAAGGGAACGCAGGCGGUCUUUUAAGUCUGAUGUGAAAGCCUUCGGCUUAACCGGGGUAGUGCAUUGGAAAAUGGGGGACUUGAGGGCAGAAGAGGAGAGGGGAACUUCAAGGGU